rnacentral:lncRNA from 1 species
AAUCUAUUAAUAAGAAAUUGUUGUACAUGCAUCUUCUAUACAUAUUAUACAAUAAAGUUCAUAUGCUCCAAUUUACUCCAUUUCAGCCAUCCAUUUGUCAACUGUCGUCGUUCAAACUACAAAUCAAUAGCGGUAAACAAAAAUUUUCACACUGAUUUGGUCCUCAAUUUUGUAUAUUAAAAUGUAUCUAUUAAGCAUGGAUACCUUGUAAUCUGAUAACUCUCUUACUGCGUCACCCUUGCUCCAAUUAUCAAUAGAAAUCUGUAAAAAAAUCCGAAUUAAUACCUGUCCGAUUUAACCAAGUACAGUUUUAUAUUCUAUUACCUCAACAUUACGCUUCAAUUCCUCUAGCCGCUUGAUGUUGUAGAACUGUUAGUAGUAACAUACAAUUAGUACAAGAUAGUUUAUAUUAAUAGAAGUUUCAAACAAAAAACCAGUCAGACUUAAGAGUACCAGAUCUAAAACACUGACGUUGA